UACGAAGGGGACUAGCGUUGCUCGGAAUCACUGGGCGUAAAGCGCACGUAGGCGGCUUACUAAGUCAGGGGUGAAAUCCUGGAGCUCAACUCCAGAACUGCCUUUGAUACUGGUGAGCUUGAGUCCGGAAGAGGUGAGUGGAACUGCGAGUGUAGAGGUGAAAUUCGUAGAUAUUCGCAAGAACACCAGUGGCGAAGGCGGCUCACUGGUCCGGUACUGACGCUGAGGUGCGAAAGCGUGGGGAGCAAACAGG
rnacentral:rRNA from 1 species